rnacentral:rRNA from 1 species
UGCCAGCAGCCGCGGUAAUACGGAGGGUGCAAGCGUUAUUCGGAAUCACUGGGCGUAAAGGACGCGUAGGCGGGUUAAUAAGUCAGAUGUGAAAUCCUAUGGCUCAACCAUAGAACUGCAUUUGAAACUGUUAACCUAGAGUAUGGAAGGGGCAGAUGGAAUUAGUGGUGUAGGGGUAAAAUCCGUAGAUAUCACUAGGAAUACCGAAAGCGAAGGCGAUCUGCUGGGACAUUACUGACGCUGAGGCGUGAAAGCGUGGGGAGCAAACAGGAUUAGAUA